UUUAUGGAGAGUUUGAUCCUGGCUCAGGAUGAACGCUGGCGGCGUGCCUAAUACAUGCAAGUCGAGCGAACUGACGAGGAGCUUGCUCCUUUGACGUUAGCGGCGGACGGGUGAGUAACACGUGGGUAACCUACCUAUAAGACUGGAAUAACUCCGGGAAACCGGGGCUAAUGCCGGAUAACAUGUUGAACCGCAUGGUUCAACAGUGAAAGACGGUCUUGCUGUCACUUAUAGAUGGACCCGCGCCGUAUUAGCUAGUUGGUAAGGUAACGGCUUACCAAGGCGACGAUACGUAGCCGACCUGAGAGGGUGAUCGGCCACACUGGAACUGAGACACGGUCCAGACUCCUACGGGAGGCAGCAGUAGGGAAUCUUCCGCAAUGGGCGAAAGCCUGACGGAGCAACGCCGCGUGAGUGAUGAAGGUCUUCGGAUCGUAAAGCUCUGUUGUUAGGGAAGAACAUAUGUGUAAGUAACKGUGCACAUCUUGACGGUACCUAACCAGAAAGCC
rnacentral:rRNA from 1 species